UACGAGGGGUGCAAGCGUUAAUCGGAAUUACUGGGCGUAAAGCGUGCGUAGGUGGUUUGUUAAGCAAGAUGUGAAAGCCCUGGGCUCAACCCGGGAACUGCAUUUUGAACUGGCAAGCUAGAGUUUUGUUAGAGGGUAGGUGGAAGUUUCCUAGUGUAGCGGUGAAAUGCGUAGAGAUUGGAAGGAACAUCAGUGGCGAAGGCGGCUACCUGGACAAAGACUGACACUGAGGCACGAAAGCGUGGGGAGC
rnacentral:rRNA from 1 species